AGCAGCCGCGGUAAUUCCAGCUCCAAUAGCGUAUAUUAAAGUUGUUGCAGUUAAAAAGCUCGUAGUUGAAUUUCGGGAUCAGUAGGUUGGUCGUGCCACUGGUAUGUACUGGUCUUACUGAUUCCUCCUUCUUGUGGAACUGUAAUGUCAUUAAUUUGGUGUUGCAGGAAAACAGGACUGUUACUUUGAAAAAAUUAGAGUGUUUAAAGCAGGCUAACGCUUGAAUACAUUAGCAUGGAAUAAUGAAAUAGGACGUUUGAUCCUAUUUUGUUGGUUUCUAGGAUUGACGUAAUGAUUAAUAGGGAUAGUUGGGGGCAUUAGUAUUCAAUUGUCAGAGGUGAAAUUCUUGGAUUUAUUGAAGACUAACUACUGCGAAAGCAAUUUGCCAAGGAUGUUUUCAUUAAUCAAGAACGAAAGUUAGGGGAUCGAAGACGAUCAGAUACCGUCGUAGUCUUAACCAUAAACCU
rnacentral:rRNA from 1 species